rnacentral:lncRNA from 1 species
UGCCAUUUCUGAAGCCACCUCAUUUAAUUUAUACAUAGGAUAUAAAUGGCUAUACAUUUUUACACACUUUUAUACAAGUUUAGGUUGUACUACUGAGUUUGUUAAAAUGUACCCAUUAUUUACUCAAAAUAUUUAUUGUUACAAGAAAACCGUAAGAAGCUUGUGUAACAUGAACAGCAAGUAUUGAAAACGAAUAUGUAAAGUAAAUGGUUUUGCCCUGACUAAAUCAGCCUCAGUAUUUUAUGCUUUUAGUAGAAAAGCCCAUUAAACAAAAUAGAAUCCUGGGGGAUCAAAUCAUAUGAAUGAUUCAUGAAAUAACACUUCUGAAGCAACCCCAGAAUCAUAUAAAUGUAAGGGUUAAAGGUCAUAUGUACUAAGCAUGGGUCAGAGGAAUAGAAUGGAUUUGUUAAUUUUACCCUAAAUAAAAGGCGCUUGUGGGCAACAGCUCUGCCAUCAAUACACAUGGGCAGAUGUUUCCGAAUCCAGCCAUUCCCAGAUUUCACUGACAUGCCCUUUUCCACAGGCUCCCUGCUGAUGAGAUUUCCCCAGCAGCAGAAGUUUGACAUCACUGCUCCCGGAUGGGAGAAUCAGAGCUCUCCUCAUUUGGGUCAGGGGUGGCUGGCUCACGAGGUUUGGUCCAACCAGCAGAACCAGCUCCUUGGAUCCUGGAAUAAACCAAACAUCAAUGGUACCAUGCGCUCUGUGCCCAGGGAGUGAAAGGCAGGUCCAGGGUGGGAAGAAGAGGGGCUGCUACCUUUUGGAGUGAAAAAAAUGAGGUUUACACUGUAGUAUAACAAAAUGCCUUUUUGUAAAGGCCAGAAGAAAUGGCUGUGCUGUGCUGCCUGAAGCAGAAAAACCUUCAUGUACCAGGUGAAUGUAAAGCCUUUCUCCUCCCACACACAAUGGACUCACCCAGUAUUACCCUCCACUACCACUUUUGACCCUCAUAACAGCACCCUGGCGGGGGGGCAGAUUGAUGUUAUCACCAUUUACCAGAUGAGGAAACUGAGGCCUGAUGGGCAGUGAUUUGUGCACUGCGACAUAGGACUCAGUGAAGAGCCUAGCCAGCUGACGGUCAGCUGACUGGUGCACUCUUUCCCUCACCUUCUCUCUCAAGGGCACAGCUACACUCUUUCUCCACCAUUAUUAACACUCACAGGGCACAGGUAGAGCGUCCCCAGACCUGUGCAAUAUUCUACACGAAAACAUUUGGAAUGUGAGCAAUGUCUGAACAGGGGCUUGCCAGGCACAUCUGAUCACCAUAAAUGCUCCCACCCCUGCCUGUCCUCACUUGUGCUGCACUAUGCAAGCAAGCAGCAGGUUCUCAGAAGGCCACUGUCCUGCAUGUCACAAUGAGUGGCCAACUCCUUCACAGAACAGCAAAUAGCAGCCCUGGCUACAAGGUGCAGUGUGCAACCCCCAUAUGCCAAGGGGCAGCUGCUAUCUUCCAGCAGAGAGAGAACCCCCAGCUCUGCUCCCUACCUAUGCCCUGCUUCCUGUGCCUCACACAGCCAGCCUUGCUGGCCUGCUGGCUAUUGUCUCUGACUCUGAGCUGUGCUGACCACCAAGUGUUACUCCUCUCCAAGACUUGACUCCCAGGCAUGGGUGGGAGAGUUGAACCUCAAUGCAAUCUGCUCCCACUCUGAAGCUCGUCUACCCACCCCAUUUGUUACAAUUAAAGAUGGUUUUCUCAUCCCUCCAGAGACUCCAGUUUCAGACUCUGUCUCCAGAGCUGGAAUGUAUAGGGCAGAGGUAGAAAGAGGCAGGAGAGUUGGAGAACAAGAGCACCUAGAAAAGAACAGAGGAGCUCAAGCUCAUUUAAUCAAAAUGCUUAAAUGUUUUAAUUCCAGCAUUCUCCAGAGUUCACAGAAAAGAGGGAUGCAAGCCCAAAAAGCAAAAGCAGGAGCUUAUGGUCACAUGCCUCCAGCUGCAGGCAGUGGGGCCUCUGGUACUGAGAGGGAAUGCCACCCGAAUAUGCCCCAGCUGUCUCCACCCAGGAAAAGGAAAGCCAGCUCUUUCUGGAUGAGCCCCCAGAUCCAGCUGUCCUAGGUAAACGUGCUGAACUGGCUGGAGAUCCUGCAGUAAUGCUUGGCACAGAACCAAGGCUGGGUAUCAAGCAACCUCAUGACUUCCACUGCAACUGUUUAACAUCCCCAAUUCCUGGUUUUUCAGUCCAGUUGGCUGAAAAGGAUGGAAACUGGAGUGUAAAGUAGAGAAGCAGAAAGAGAAACAUAGAUUGAUCCUCAAAAGAAAAUCAAAGAAUCCAUUCAUCACAGUGUCAUCCUCAUACUCCACAGUCAGACUGCUUCUCCUGAAGCUGCCUUGUUAGUAUCUGAUAUGAAGACAGAAAAGCCACUCCUAUGUGGAAAAGGAUUUGCCAGAGGUUCCUCAGCCCGUGCAGGUACAUGUUGCCCAGGCAAAUAAAGAGCAGCAUAAGCACCACCUUCAUAGUCCUGGCUGGACUGUAGAACAGGUACAAAU